rnacentral:rRNA from 1 species
CCCUUAGAUGUUCCGGGCCGCACGCGCGCUACAAUGGUCUUCGCAAACGGAUGCAUUCUCGAAGGAGAAUGCCAAUCUUGGAAUCUAUGCCUUGGUCGGGACAGUUGCUUGCAAUUUUUCGACUCGAACCAGGAAUUCCUUGUAAUCGUGAUUCAUCACAUCACGAUGAAUACGUCCCUGCCCUUUGUACACACCGCCCGUCGCUCCUACCGAUCGAAGAGUUAGGUGAAUUGUUUUGAUCGAUAAGAUUUGACUAUGGUCAACUCUCGUUGUGAAAUUCUGUGAAUCUGACUGUUUAGAGGAAGGAAAAGUCGUAACA